rnacentral:rRNA from 1 species
AGAGUUUGAUCCUGGCUCAGAUUGAACGCUGGCGGUAUGCUUAACACAUGCAAGUCGAACGGAAACGAUACUAGCUUGCUAGUAGGCGUCGAGUGGCGGACGGGUGAGUAACGCGUAGGAAUCUGCCUGAUAGUGGGGGAUAGCCCGGAGAAAUUCGGAUUAAUACCGCAUAAUCUACACGUAGUAAAGGAGGCCUCUAUUUAUAAGCUUUCGCUAUCAGAUGAGCCUGCGUAAGAUUAGCUUGUUGGUGAGGUAAAAGCUCACCAAGGCGACGAUCUUUAGCUGGUCUGAGAGGAUGAUCAGCCACACUGGGACUGAGACACGGCCCAGACUCCUACGGGAGGCAGCAGUGGGGAAUAUUGGACAAUGGGGGCAACCCUGAUCCAGCAAUACCGCGUGUGUGAAGAAGGCCUGAGGGUUGUAAAGCACUUUCAAUUGUGAAGAAAAGCUAAAGGUUAAUAACCC